CUCCGCCGGCGACCGGCGCACGGGUGAGUAACACGUAUGCAACCUGCCCCUGUCAGGGGGACAACCCGCCGAAAGGCGGGCUAAACCCGCGUACAUGCCACCGGGGCAUCCCGGAGGCAGGAAAGGCUUCGGCCGGACAGGGAUGGGCAUGCGGCGCAUUAGGCAGUAGGCGGGGUGACGGCCCACCUAACCGACGAUGCGUAGGGGUUCUGAGAGGAAGGUCCCCCACACUGGUACUGAGACACGGACCAGACUCCUACGGAAGGCAGCAG
rnacentral:rRNA from 1 species